AAAUUGUCCCCCGCAGGUUCGCAAGCAGCCCCUGCAGGUUCACUUGAGCUUAAUUUUGCUAAUCACACGGGGACAGUUAUUUUCCGUUUUCGCUCAGCUCCCCACACACAUGCAGGCAGUGCACAAGCUCGAGCUGCACCUCUCCCGUUCCCUGGCACGAAGUCCAGAUCAGCUCUGACCAUCCCUGCGUGUGAGCGGAGAGCAGCGACGCAGCGCCCCGGUGCCUUCGACCUUAGGAGCUGCCACAGAGGUGGGGGCAGAGAUCGUCUUCAAGGUUGCUGUCAUCUGGAAUUUUAUGUCCUUCAUUUUCUUUCACUCUGUAUGCCUGUCACAUCGGCUUAACUGACAGAUUUCAACUUCUGAACCAGCAGUCAACAAAGAUUCCCCCAGCUGCUGGGGAAAAAAGUAAGUAUUUAUGAAGAAAGGCAUAAUAAGAUCAGAGGGAAACCUGUCAUAAAAAUGCACAUUGCAUAAUACAUGAUGGAUCAGUUCUAUUAUUUAACUUUUGCAUAGAUAUAACAAUACAGAGAUAUGCUAACCAUCAUAGUCAGCAUUAAUUUACAGUGGGAAAAAUAAUUAGAAUCUCACUUUUUCUGAAGAAUGGAGUGAAAAUGUAAACAAUGCUUCCCUCCAGGCAAGUGCUUUAUCAAGUUGACAGAUGCAUUUGAAUUUCCAUGGGUGGGGGACAUAAUAGGUUAUUUAUGUGUCAUUUUAAUAGAAAGGCCCAACCAUCAAGAUGGACAGGAGACUUUAUCAGUACUGCUGUUUGCAACUAAUCCACCAAUUUAAUACCCCAUGAAAAUACCUGCAACAAAACCUGAACAUUUUUCUUUUCCAUUCCAUUAUAGGCAAAUCAAUGUGGGUGCUAUUCAUCUCAACUCUUUGUCUCAGCAGGUGCCCACCACACAGAGCUCCUCACAACACAGGUGCAUUGGCAUAGCUGCAUAAACAUACAGGUAUUGAUGUCUGACGCAAUCAGUGAAUCUAAGGCAGGAUCACUUAGACCUUUAAUUCACUCUCAAACAUCAGUAAGACAGUGGGGACAAAAAGCUGGUUGCUUUGUUUUGGAGAGGAAUGAGAUAGCAACCUACGGAGUCAUGGCAUGGGCCCUUGCUGGAAGUUCCUUUCAGUCAAGACAUCUGUACAGUCUGCUUUACUUUCCUCUCAUUGCCUGAACCUUCCUACAACAAUGACAGCUACUGCAUGAGCCAAAGUCACGGGCAUCUUGCACUUAAUGCUGUGUUUUCUGUCUGCACUACAGUAGUGUUUCCAUAUUGCAGCUGUGGGCUGAGACCAGUUUUGUGCUUGGUGCCCUCGAUGCAGAACAAAAGACAGUAUGGUGCCACAAUUUCGGUACAAACAAGGCCCAAUCUUGCUACACCCCUCAAGAGCCAGGCACAACAGCAACAGAUUUUUCUUGAAAACCUUCAUUUUUUGGUCAAAAUUAACAAAUCCCUGGUCACAUUGCACUGUU